GCGAGCCUGAUCCGCCAUGCCGCGUGUGUGAAGAAGGCCUUUUGGUUGUAAAGCACUCUUUNGCGAGGAGGAGGCUACUUGGAUUAAUACUCUAGGAUAGUGGACGUUACUCGCAGAAUAAGCACCGGCUAACUCUGUGCCAGCAGCCGCGGUAAUACGA
rnacentral:rRNA from 1 species